UUUUUUGUGGUCUCCUCAUCCAGCUCAUUUUCAGAGCCGCCUGAAAAGUCUUCAUGGUCUGAAGUUUCAGACUCGAACGUGGAAUCUCUCCGGAAGCGAUCAAGAUGGGCAUCUCGUUCCUCAAGCUCAUCGGCGGAGCUUUCAGAUUUGACCUUUAAAACGUCUACAACUGGUUUUGUUGAUCUUGAGGAACGAAUAGCUUUUAAAAAUCGUUCAUCUUCUUCAUCUUCACUCAAAUCUUGGUCAACGUACUUCUCUUCUUCUUCGGCCCCAAAUAAUUGUUCAGCUGUAGACAUAUUUGGCUAAUGAUUUGCUUGUUGGUUUACUUUUCAAUCUAAAAGUUAAGAAGUAAUCUUUUAAAGAAAUUCUAUGCCACAACAACUUAAUCUUCGAAACGCCUAAAUUGUAGAAAUGAAAACUUCUAUACACUCGAGUUUCAUGAAUUUCAAGUGACAAUAAAUUGUUACCUAAAAAGGAAAACCGUGAAAAAAGAUGAGAAUGAAAUGAUUUUAGUAAUAUUUUAUGUUAUUUAUAACUAACAUUUUUCAAGUUAAUGAUCUAUGAUCAAUAAAAAGGUAAUAGAGGCUGUUUGCAAUCUCAACAAAGUAUAGGUGUUCAAAUUAUUUGAAAGAUGAGUGAAUCCUCGAAGAUAAACAAAGGAGUGACUAAGAAUGAAACAUCAUGGGGGAGUGGUUAUAAUUGACAAUGCUUUAUCUGAGAUACAGUAGUCUUCAGUAGCUUUUGGAUCAGGCUAAGAAUUAAAUUUAGCGAUAUUUUAUCCCUAGAUUUCUUUUGCUUUUUCUUUUUAACAUAAAAAAUUGAAAACAACCUUCUCUCGAAAUUAUGGUGAAUUUAUUAGAACGGAUUGAACAGUUAAAUUACCAGUAGAUGGAAUAUGUUCGGUCAAUUUUUCACCUCAUAUCAAAUCAAAGCACUAAUUUGGAUACAUCCUUAUCAAAAUAUUCCUUUUCAAGAUGAGCAAGACGCUUUCUUGAAAUUAUGCUAUGAAACGACUGUUUAUCGGGCUGAAACACUUUAGCAUAAGGCGAAUCACAAGUAUAACAAGUUUGCUUUAAGAAUGUAAAUAGAGAAUCAUUACUGUCAAUAUGCUUUAAAGCGAACUUCAGUAACUCCUUAACAUGAAGCAAUCUUUCCCUAGGAUCGAAAUAAACUUGAGGACCAAUAUUAAAAAAUUUGCAUGCUUGAUUUUCAGAGCUUUGAAGUAACAAGUGGGGAGAAAAAAAUGAUUUAUCAAGAAUAUGGAAAUAUGGUAAUUUAGAAAGUACUUCGAUCCACGCAUUCGCAGCUUUUUGCCUGAGUAAUGGAGUAGGAAAAAUUUGAAUUAAAAAAGCCAUAGAGUCACAUAACUGUGCAGAAAGCAUCUGUGAAAAAUUUGAAAAAUUUACAUAGUCCCUUUCAAAGGAACCCAUCAAGUCAAGUAAAGGGGACCUUUGGUUUAACGGAAACUGUUUACAGGCUCUAGCUACCGUACACUUCUCCAAAGGUGUACGAGGAAGUUUGCUAAGGUUGAGACGAUAACUGAAAGAAUCACUAAUUAAAUUAAAUGGAAAAGAUUUGAAUAGAGUUUGGAACCUGCCAAGGUAUAUUCGCGGUCUGGUUUCAGUCUUUGGAAAUAAACUGUAGCAAUCCUCCCACAAGGAAACACUUUGAUUUAAAAGUACAAUGGUACUAGUUUCAUCAAGACAGCUUCCAAAUCUUUUCAAAAGGCUCCUUGUUUUGGUGAUUUUAGAGUCCACAAGUAGGCAUUCUAUAUGUUUGGGCUUUUGACUUCGAAGAAGAAUGUUGUCAACUCGUUUAGGAAUUGCAGAUGAAUUUUUUUUAUAAACAAUCGCCUUUGGCUCUAGCAUUUUGCUGUGCAGCUUACAAUGGGUUAGGAUAACCGGUCUUUGGUCAACUGGUUUUUUUAUUUGAGACUUUGCGACGAACCAGCCGGCUUCAGUCGGGCCCAAAAUGCAUCGUUUAAUAACAUCUGCCAUUAGUAAAAUUCCGUAAUUUUGUUCACAUAGAUAAUAAAAUAUCCUGCUUAAAGACCCUCUUUUCUCAAAAAAAAGUGGUAGUAAAACAGGAGUUGGUUUUUUGUUAGACGUUCGAAACUCUAUUUAACCCCCUUCAAAAAAUUUACCAUAUAACGUAUAUAAUUUUUGUUUAUAGGAAUUGCUUUUGGUUUUUUAGAAUUCCAUUAAGAUAAUGGGCAUGAUAUAUCUACAAAAUCACUUACUCACAAUACGUUGCACUAGCAUUUCCUAAGUUAGGGAUCUUGGGAAAAAAUGCUUCUUUAAAUCCUUGAAAGCAUAAUAAAAUUAAAAAAAAAUACAAAUUUCUCCUUUUUUAUACAUGCAAUUGCAUUUUAUUCAUAGCCUAGCAUUGUGAGUAAUGCCAAGUAGACUAAAACAGGGAAAUGAUUAAAUAAAAGCGAUGGAUGUCAGUCUGCAGUGAUAAUGCAUUAUGAAGAAGCUAUACGCCAAAUCCAUAAAACACUCAUCUGCCACUGAUUUCACGAUGACAUCUAAAAAUGACCAAAAAUGAAACUAUCUUAGCAAAUGCAAAAAGGAAUCUCGAUAUAACUGCCCAAAGUUAUGGUACAACUACUAAAACAACAAAAAAAGACGAAUAAAGAAUAUAAAGGAACGUGCAAAACAAAAGAGCGAAUUAUUAAAGGAUAGUGUGAAUUUAGGCAAAGACUUCAUGUACAUGAUCUAUCAAAAACGCAAGACUGUAAUUCUUAACAGUCAUGUCAAUAACGUCUCUGGAAUUAUCGGGGUCGCGUAUUAAUGUUGGGGAAAAUACUACUGCAAGGUUCUUGGAUGUCAUUCGAUUUGCAUGACUAUAUGCAGCAACCCUUGCUAAAUGUCUAAUAAUGAGCUGCAAAAUUUCAGCAUGAGCUGGAGGAAGACUUUUGAUGACCAUUAUAAAACCGUCUAAUUUAUCUUGGAAAGAGGCACAAUUUGCUGCUGUGAUGAACGGAAAGUAUUGGUCAUAGGUAAUAAUUGGAUUAGGAAGGUUGCGAAGAUAUUGCUUGAAUACAGAAGUGACAGCAGAAAUAUCCUCACUUGGAUCAAGUACCGUAUCUUCAUUUCUUAGUAACGCAACAAUUUUUUUCAUUUGAGAAGUUGCCCCUGAUUUGCGAUACAGACCUUCAAAAUCCAUGCCGUAUGACUCGAUAAAAUUUAUACAAGAAACGAUAAGCGUCGGGACUCUCAAGAGUGUUAGCCUGUUUUGAUCGAAGUCGUCAGGAUUCAAAGCCCAAACAGGAGAUUCGCUUUUUUUAGAUUGAUACUGACGAUCUAUAGUAGAACUAACGCAAUCCUGAUAAUGUGCUCUAAGCUCAUUGGAGUAUUUACCGCAAAGUUUGCAGUGACCGACCGCUGGAACGAAAUCCUCUUGUUCUUCAGAAGCUAAAUGUUCUUCAGAAAUACUGGGAGUACUCGACAUGUGAGGAGAAUCUCUUUUCCAAUGAAACCGUUUAGAAAAUGACUUCUUAAGAUCUAUUUUAGAGUUCCGUUUGUUAUACCCUCCACUCUCCUUGUCUUUAUUGUCUUUGGGUCUAAAUCCAAGGCUAGAUGCAACCAUUUGUAGACGCGAAAACGAUUCUCGCGGAGACGGGGUUGAAAUCGUUCGGUUGGAUUUUUUAUCAUUAUUAAAUAUUCCGAAAGAGGAAGAAGUUCGCUUCUUAUGCUGCUGCUCCCUCAAGUAUGCCAAUUCUCUCUCCAAUUGAUUGUUAAGGCUUACCAGUUCUGUGUUCUUAACAUUCAGAUAUGCGGUUUCUUCCAUUACAGUGCUGUAAGCGUUUUGCAAUUUAGAGACAGUCGUAGACAAAGCGUCUCGCCUCAAAAGUAAGGUAGACAGUUCAGGUUGAAAAGAUUUCCGUAAAUAAUCUAAUCUAUAAUUUAAAUCUGCAACCAACUCUUGCUUGAAAGCUUCGGGGGACACGGGAGUCUGCUGCUCUAUGAUAGAAGCCAACGAAGUCGCUUCCAACAAUAAGGUUCCAACCUCAGCUUGAAGCUCUGAAAUACGAAUGGCGAGUUCAUUUGCGCUUUCCUCUGUAGCAUCAAAUACGUUUGAAGUAAACACAUCACUUGCUCUAACCAAAGAACUUCGAUUGUAUUCAGGUUCACAUGCUUGAUGCAAACUAACUUGCGACAAAUUUAAACUUUUGGCCCGCGGGGAAGCCUCAUAAUUUGAAGAGUUCGUCAAUCUUUUCUUCAAGCCGUUUGGUUCGCUACUAAGUCGUUUGUCAUCUAACUUAUUAAAUACCGUAGGAUAUCUAGGAAAUCUAGCCUUUGUAGGAGUUUCGUCGCUUUCCAAUCCGUUAACGUAAUAUUCGUCAAGAUUAGAUAAACUGUUUCGAUUUCUAGGAACCUUUAAAUUACAUUUAUUUGUGACAUCACGAAGAGCACCCCUUAAAUGGAUAGGAGAUAGAGCUAUUCUGCCAGACACAUAUCCAUAUUUAGAUGGUGAUGUUGUUGUCGAAACAGAUUUGUAAUUCAUAGUAGAAGAGCGGCGAAGUGGAGGAGGAUUAACAACGCUUUCAUUUUUAGGAAGUUGAGGAAGCGUACCAUUUUCGGUUGGUGAUUGAACAAAGGCGUGAUAAGCAACAGGUUGCUGCACGCUAUUAUUAUUUACUACUGAGCUUUGCCUUGAAGAAACUGGUUCAAUUGGUAUCGAACUUCCAGAAUGAAAAGAGUCACACGAAUCAAAUGGAGAGGCAUUAGCUGAACGAAAUGAGGGACCAUUAGCUAGUGGAGAGGGAGAGGUUUUAACGAAAGAAUUUUUGGGUUUAAGUAAGAAGUCCUUUUGGAUGUCUUUGUAAGAUUUUGCGGAGUUUAUAUCACCAGGUGUUUCAUAACCAUUAGUUUGAACUUUUAAUUGAGGACGGAGAGAGUUUGUAGGAGAGCUGGUAUUUUGCAUUCGACCAGAUAAUACGGAGGAUGGAGAAUCAGACGCUAUAAAAUGCGGGUUUUGAAAGCCUUGGUUUUGCCCUAAAAUUAAAGUUAGAAACAUAAAGACAAUAUCAAUAAAUACUACAUAAGCAACAAACUUACCAGUUAAAGAAGUGUUUUCCGCAGUUUGUGCGAUAUUCCUAAGAGGAAUAAACCCUGAUGCGCUUUCCAUAACAGCCUUUUGAUUCUCUUCAUCUUGUUUACGCAAACAAGGAAGGCAGUAAUGUUGACCUUUGAACUUGCCAAAAGCAUUUGAAUUAAUGAAAGCUCGACAAUUGGAGCAACAAGGAUGAUUAGCUUGACUAUUGCUUACUGCGUUGAACUCGCAAAUAGGAGUUGAGCAACCGUUGCAGAUAUCAACACAUAAUUUACAGAAUAUUUGCUUUUGAUCGUCUUGAGAAAAAUCUUCAGAGGAAGGGUCUAAUUUUUUGUUGCAGUUCACACAUUUAAAACUAGCAAACCGUCUUAAUUAGUAAAUCAAAACAACAAGAAGCACAAACAAGGGUAAUCUUUGGAGCAUUUUAUAUUUUUUUAUUCAAUCUAUAAGAAAAAAAAAAGAUCCAAAAAUCCCAACGUUUGCAUUUUCAAUCAUACCAAUCGGAAUGCCAACAUUUCCCACCGAACCAAACUUGAGAGGUACUGGGAACACUCUAGAGCAAAAGUUAGUAAAUGCCGUUCAUUACAGCUGGGAAAAAAUAAAAGAGCAGUGUCCAAUUUCAAGACAGGGUCUCGUUUUGUGAAAAGACCGCUCUCCGGACACGGCGAUUAAAUUUUGAACCUCACAUACUUCCCAACAUUUAAUACAAAAACAAGUACGUUCGGAUGGCGUCUCCAAACUAAGUCUGUCCAGAUGAAGUGUCGUACCCGAAUUCAUAAGGAAAUCAAUAUUCUGAAAAUUAAAAGAAAGGUGUUUCCCAAGAGAAUGGAUAGGUAAAUUACACCAGCUCAAAAAAUGAGCGGCAGCUAAGAUAGAAAACUCUUUACGGUUUUAUUCAA